GACGGGUGAGUAAUGCGUAGGAAUCUACCUAGUAGUACGGAAUAGCCAUUAGAAAUGGUGGGUAAUACUGUAUAAUCCCCGAGGGGGAAAGAUUUAUCGCUAUUAGAUGAGCCUACGUUAGAUUAGCUAGUUGGUGAGGUAAUGGCUUACCAAGGCUAUGAUCUAUAGCUGGUCUGAGAGGACGAUCAGCCACACUGGAGCUGAGAUACGGUCCAGACUCCUACGGGAGGCAGCAGUGGGGAAUAUUGGACAAUGGGCGAAAGCCUGAUCCAGCUAUGCCGCGUGAGUGAAGAAGGCCUUCGGGUU
rnacentral:rRNA from 1 species